AGUCAGCGGGAUAUGUUGGGAAGCUCCGAAUUGGAUUAUGCCCGUGGCUUCAGGCAGAAAGUUCGGUGCCCUGAUGAAGUCUGUGAGAAGCCAUAUGUUCCAAUGGUGAUGCCAAUGCCCGGGCUUGGCUUGUGCUUAGGUCGUGUCUGUUUGCCCACGUUACCGGCAAGGAUGAGAACACACAGUCCUUCCUUCUGUAAGCUGCCUUCACAGCUUUAGGAGGACAUGUGUCUGUAGUUAGGAGCUCGGUGUUCAUUCAUCGUGUGACCGUGACUGAGGUGAUGGCUGGUGUCAAGUAGGAGAGGCUUCAGCUGGGCCAAAGAUGUUGGAGAGAGUUUUUUGAGGAACACACCGUCCACGUGGAGCAAAGCUUGUCCUCUGGAUUAUUAUUUCUCCUAUAUUUUCUAAAUUUCCAUGUUGCAUAAUAUGCUGUACUAUUUUAUAAGGAGAAGUUGAUGCAGGUUGGACAUUGACCUUUUCUUCUGAAAGGUUGAUUAAUCUUGGAGAAGAUAAGUUAAAAGUUUCACUUCUCCAGUAUAGCUCUGAUACCUGUUCAAGAACUAAACUAGGUUUGACAACACCUGAAAGUACUUUGAUAAGCAUAUUGGAAAGGUAGAAAAAAUAGCAGCUACACCAUGUCAGAUGACUUCUUGAACACAGAUGAUAGUAGACUAAUACUUUUAGAGUUUAUUUAGAGCUCAAAGUAAUUAACAGGUGAAAAGAAGCCAUGAUGCUUGUCCAUUGUAAUAAAAGUGUGAUAACUUACAGUAUAGUUUGACUUUAUAUUUGUAGACUUAACUAGUGUAGUUCAAUUAAAAAAGGCAAAGUACCGAUUGUGUGAAUAACAAAGUAGGUCUUGCAAUACAUAGUUUUAACUGUGUAGUACACUGCUCUUAUUUUGAUGUCUCCAAUUUAAUUGGAAGAUCCAGAUGCUGAGAAAAAUGAAACUAUUUUCUGCAUGUUUUUGGAGUGUUGCACUGUGAAUGAGAGCUGCACUUAGACUAAUUAAAAAAACCUCUGACUAGGGUACUUGAAGCCAGUGUUGCUUUUGCAUCACUGUGCUGUGAACUGACUCCACUGCUGUGCAGUAUUAGUGUUUCAUGCAUGCUGUUAAAGUAUUAUAAUUUGUGGUUUGGUACAGAUACAGCUUAGUUUAAUUUUAGAGCAUGCUUUCCAAGGAAACAUUGAUUUGCUAUUUUAUGUAUACAGGGAGCUAACUGUUCCAGUUCUGAAAAA